AUGACGGUCCUCUGGUGGAACUGCCAGGGAUUGGGCCACCCCGGGACAGUUCGCGAGUUAGUGUGCCCAGUGCGCACUCAUCGCCCCACUAUCAUGUUCAUCUCGGAAAGGCGGCAGUGUGAAGAGAGCGUGAAGAGAAUAAGGGAAAGAAUAGGCCUGAAACAUUGUAUCACCCAUGAUGGGAAGGGCAAAGGUGCCGGCAUCACCCUAUUAUGGGACGAUAGCAUUGAAAUAAAUUUGCUCUCUUAUGGACCGCGGUAUAUUGAUGUUCAUGUGCGUAAUGAUCCUAAUAGCUCUCUGUGGCGAGGUACCUUUGUCUAUGGGGAGCCUAAAGCCCAAGAGAGACACCACAUGUGGAACUUGCUCAAGAGAAUAAAAUACAGUUCAUCGGAACCUUGGUUGAUGAUCGGAGACUUCAACGAAACUAUGUGGCAAGGAGAGCACUUCUCAGCGACAAAACGAUCUGAAAAUAAUAUGAGGAAUUUUAGGGAGGUAUUGGUUGGUGAUCUGCACGAUCUUGGCUUUAGAGGCCCAGAAUGGACGUUUGACAAUAAGCAAAGCGGUGGGAAAAAGGUCAGAGCGAGGCUGGACAGAGGAGUGGCAUCACCAACAUGGAGUGACAGGUUUCCACAAGCACAGAUUCAGCACAUUGUCACCUCGAGAUCGGACCAUUUCCCCUGUUACUCACAUUUGAAGAAGAACGACUGA
rnacentral:rRNA from 1 species